rnacentral:lncRNA from 1 species
GUCCAUGGGGUCCCAAAGAGUUGGACAUGACUGAAGCAACUUAGCAUGCAUGCAGGGAAAUAAGAUCCCAGAUACCUCAAGACCUGGCACAGCCAAAAAAAUAAAAGUAAAGGAGACUCACAUGAGUUGCCCAAGAUCACACAAACAAGAGGUCUUCACAGAGAUUCAAACUGAGACUGUACAGCUCUAAGGGUGCAUUUGUUUCAUCGUGAAAUAAGCUAUGUUCAUCAAGAGAGUUGAACCAAAUAUAAGGCUCAGCUUUGAUGACUUCCAAGCACAGCUCAAGGGACUUCCCUGGCGGUCCAGUGGUUAAGCCUCAUUAAGAUUCAGGAGGCCUGGGUUCAAUUGCUGGUCAGGGAACUUGAUCAGCAACUAAGAGCCUGCACACAGCUAAAGACCCGCCCGGUACAGUCAAAUAAAUAAAGAUAAAUAAUAUAUUUUUUAAAGAGCAUAGAGAAGUAUUUUUUUUUAAUGGGGAUGAUAGCAGC